UACGAAGGGGGCUAGCGUUGUUCGGAAUUACUGGGCGUAAAGGGCGCGUAGGCGGUGUGUCAAGUCAGGCGUGAAAGCCCCGGGCUCAACCUGGGAACAGCGCUUGAGACUGGCACGCUCGAGUUCGGGAGAGGAUGGUGGAAUUCCCAGUGUAGAGGUGAAAUUCGUAGAUAUUGGGAAGAACACCGAUGGCGAAGGCAGCCAUCUGGACCGACACUGACGCUGAGGCGCGCAAGCGUGGGGAGCAAACAGG
rnacentral:rRNA from 1 species